rnacentral:lncRNA from 1 species
CAGAUAAGCGCUAAAAUUAUUCAUGUGCACUUUUGAUACCUUUUCUGAAAUUCUCCAGUCAUUAAAUCUUUUACAAAGUUCAUUGAUUACAAAAAAAAAGAAGAUCUGGUAUGAUUGCCAUGUUGACAACUCUCCACAAGAGAACAAAAUGACACAGAAAUUAACAACUAUAGGUCAUCGUACGGCCUUCAACAACGAGCAAAUACCAUACCGCAUACUCAGCUUUAAAAGGCACCGAAAUGACAAUGUAAAACAAUUCAAACGAGAAAACUAGCGGCCUUCAACAACGAGCAAAUACCAUACCGCAUACUCAGCUUUAAAAGGCACCGAAAUGACAAUGUAAAACAAUUCAAACGAGAAAACUAGCGGCCUUAUUUAUGUACAAAAAAUGAACGAAAAACAAAUAUGUAACACAUAAACAAACGACAACCACUGAAUUACAGGCUCCUUACUUAAAUGUUCAUAACAUACUAAAUGUAUAUUCAUAUUGAAAUUGAUAGAAAACCACAAAUUGGGAAUUUUGGAAAUAAAGGAGGAGGGAUUAAAAAAAACAUUUUCCUGUCCCCAAUAACCUAUGAUUUAUGAUAUUUUUGCUGAAAUUCUCCAGUCAUUCAAUAUUUCACAAAAUUCUUCAAACAACACUUUACAUACUUUAAACUACGCUCUGAAUGCCCGCGAUUUCGCGGGUGUGUUCUAGUUAU